AGGUGUUGGUCGGGUGUUUUUGGGUGUUUUUGGGUGCUUGAGUAGAUCGAUGACGUUUUUGACAAAUCAUGUGAUAGACGUCAAUUUUUUUUCAAAUUACUGGCAACACUUUCUAGAUUCUCGUUAUUUGUUAUUUGUGUUAUUUGUUUUGAUUCGGAAUGUGGAGUAAAAGUUUUGGCAGGAGUUUCGGGUAAAGCUAGUUUCUACCUUAGACGUUUCUACGAUAAUUUCGGCCGACCGACCUAGUUUUUGCGCUGAAUUCGCAAUUGGGAGUUCCUGUGCAUCGAAUAUCGGAAUAGUGACAACAGGUGCCCUUCGAAAGGGCUAAAGAUUUCGCUUCUAUCUACGCCUUCUACUCGUCGGGCGGAUGAUGACCUGCGCUGUUGAUUAAUGAUAAAGAACGCCAUAUCCUUCGUCACGCAAUUAUUGUUUUUUGCUCACGGUACCGGAGUUUCAAGAGGAGAACAACCUUCAGCCACAUCCGAACCCUCCGGCCACCGAAACCGUCGAAGCUGCAUCCGACGUUUGACGCUAGUUUAAAUUGGAGCCUGAACGGUUUCCCGGUGACCUAAGCACGCGGCGAUGAAGAGCGAAGAGUUUUUUUUUUGAGGCAAAAACUACUGGCAGGAACGGGUAGAGGAAUUUGCUACGGUACGAGCAGUUUUGUGAGCAUGAGAAAUGCGUAUCAGGCUUGGUAUUGUCGUCGCGGUUGAAACCCGAAGUUUCCCCACACCCGACAAUCGAAUUAUCUCAAAACCCAUACGUGAAACCUAACGUCGGACGUAGUGCGCUGGACAGCGGACCUGGCCCUCUAUCCAGCGCACUGUGCCCGACGUACGUCCGACACACGGUUUAGGAGAAAAAUCGAUUUUCGCGUGUCAAAAAUUCCGAUUUUCAACUGCACGAACAAUAGUAUGACGAUUUAAAGAUAAGGCUUUGCAAAUGUAGCCUGAAGAAUCAUGCAGCGGUUAAUUCCGGUGGACAAAAUAAAUAAAAUAAGCAGCAAUUGUAAUGCUACAAUGUAUUAUCAUUGCUGCUUAUCUCAUUCUCUA